UGUUGAUCCUGCCCGUAGUCAUAUGAUUGUCUCAAAGAUUAACCCACGCAUGUCUCAGUAUAAGUCUUUAAAUGUGGAAACUGCGAAUGGCUCAUUAAAACAGCUAUAGUUUAUUCGAUUGUCAACUGUUAUUUGGAUACCUGUGGUAAUUCUAGAGGUAAUACAAGCAUAAAAACGCGACUUUUUGGAAGGGUUGUAUAUAUUAGAUACAGAACCAAUCCGCUUUGCGGCCCUUGGAGGAUUCAUAAUAAAUGAACGGAGCGCACGACUUGUGUCGGCGGUGAGUCGUUCAAGUUUUUGACCUAUCAGCUUUUGACGGUAGGGUAUUGGCCUACCGUGGCGUUGACGGGUAACGGAGAAUUAGGGUUCGAUUCCGGAGAGGGAGCCCGAGAAACGGCUACCACCUCUAAGGAAGGCAGCAGGCGCGCAAAUUACCCAAUCCUGACACCGGGAGGUAGUGCCA
rnacentral:rRNA from 1 species